UACGUAGGGUGCGAGCGUUGUCCGGAAUUAUUGGGCGUAAAGAGCUCGUAGGCGGUCUGUCGCGUCGGUCGUGAAAACCUGCAGCUUAACUGUGGGCUUGCGGUCGAUACGGGCAUGACUGGAGUUCGGCAGGGGAGACUGGAAUUCCUGGUGUAGCGGUGGAAUGCGCAGAUAUCAGGAGGAACACCAAUAGCGAAGGCAGCUCGCUGGGACGGUACUGACGCUGAGGCGCGAAAGCGUGGGGAGCGAACAGG
rnacentral:rRNA from 1 species